rfam:Equus caballus chromosome 1, whole genome shotgun sequence.
GGUUGUGAGAGUGACCUGGCUGCCAUCCCAUUAAUCCUGAGGUGUGAUUUGGCUGGUGUUCUCUUCCUUCCCCACACCUCAGUGAGCAUCCCUCCCAAAUCUGGGCUCACGUCAGUGAGUGUGGCCUCCCCACCUGGAGGAGGACCAUUCUUUAGUCAAGGUAUGGAGAUGCCUGUGCCUCUCUGUUUAAGAUUCGGCAAAAGACAAAGUGGAAAAAACCUGAAGAUGGCAACUAAUCUUAUUGCCUGUCACCAGGCUUCAUGCAAUCUUGG